rnacentral:rRNA from 1 species
AGAGUUUGAUCCUGGCUCAGAUUGAACGCUGGCGGCAUGCCUAACACAUGCAAGUCGAACGGAAACGAUGGGAGCUUGCUCCCAGGCGUCGAGUGGCGGACGGGUGAAUAAUACUUAGGAAUCUACCCAGUAGCGGGGGACAACUCGAGGAAACUCGAGCUAAUACCGCAUACGCCCCACGGGGGAAAGCAGGGGAUCUUCGGACCUUGCACUAUUGGAUGAGCCUAAGUCGGAUUAGCUUGUUGGUGAGGUAAAGGCUCACCAAGGCGACGAUCCGUAGCUGGUCUGAGAGGACGAUCAGCCACACUGGGACUGAGACACGGCCCAGACUCCUACGGGAGGCAGCAGUGGGGAAUAUUGGACAAUGGGGGCAACCCUGAUCCAGCAAUGCCGCGUGUGUGAAGAAGGCCUGCGGGUUGUAAAGCACUUUCAGUAGAGAAGAAAAGCCCACGGCUAAUACCCGUGAGUCUUGACGUUACCUACAGAAGAAGCUCCGGCUAACUCCGUGCCAGCAGCCGCGGUAAUACGGAGGGAGCGAGCGUUAAUCGGAAUUACUGGGCGUAAAGCGCGCGUAGGCGGCUUUGUAAGUCGGAUGUGAAAGCCCUGGGCUCCACCUGGGGAUGGCAUUCGAUACUGCAGAGCUAGAGUAUGGUAGAGGGAAGUGGAAUUUCCCGUGUAGCCGUGAAAUGCGUAGAUAUC